GCAGCCGCCGCGGUAAUACGUAGGGUGCAAGCGUUACUCGGAAUUACUGGGCGUAAAGCGUGCGUAGGUGGUGGUUUAAGUCCGUUGUGUAAGCCCUGGGCUCAACCUGGGAAUUGCAGUGGAUACUGGGUCACUAGAGUGUGGUAGAGGAUAGUGGAAUUUCCGGUGUAGCAGUGAAAUGCGUAGAGAUCGGAAGGAACAUCUGUGGCGAAGGCGACUAUCUGGGCCAACACUGACACUGAGGCACGAAAGCGUGGGGAGCAAACAGGAUUAGAUACCCGCGUAGUCCCUGUCUCUUAUAC
rnacentral:rRNA from 1 species